rnacentral:tRNA from 2 species
AAGUAGGAAGCGAUAAUUUGCACCCAGUUUCGACCUGGUCCUUGGUGGCUUCACCCCUACUUU